rnacentral:rRNA from 1 species
CCCUUAGAUGUUCUGGGCCGCACGCGCGCUACACUGACGAUGGCAACGAGUUUUUCCCUCGCCGAAAGGUGUGGGUAAUCUUUUGAAACAUCGUCGUGCUGGGGAUAGAUCAUUGCAAUUUUUGAUCUUGAACGAGGAAUUCCUAGUAAGCGCGAGUCAUCAGCUCGCGUUGAUUACGUCCCUGCCCUUUGUACACACCGCCCGUCGCUACUACCGAUUGAAUGGUUUAGUGAGGACUCCUGAUUGGCGCCGCCGCCCCGGCAACGGAGCAGCGGACUGCCGAAAAGUUGUUCAAACUUGAUCAUUUAGAGGAAGUAAAAGUCGUAACA